UUUGAGUGAGUGGCGAACUGGUGAGUAACACGUGGGAAACCUGCCCAGAAGCGGGGGAUAACACCUGGAAACAGAUGCUAAUACCGCAUAACAACUUGGACCGCAGGGUCCGAGUUUGAAAGAUGGCUUCGGCUAUCACUUUUGGAUGGUCCCGCGGCGUAUUAGCUAGAUGGUGGGGUAACGGCUCACCAUGGCAAUGAUACGUAGCCGACCUGAGAGGGUAAUCGGCCACAUUGGGACUGAGACACGGCCCAAACUCCUACGGGAGGCAGCAGUAGGGAAUCUUCCACAAUGGACGAAAGUCUGAUGGAGCAACGCCGCGUGAGUGAAGAAGGGUUUCGGCUCGUAAAACUCUGUUGUUAAAGAAGAACAUAUCUGAGAGUAACUGUUCAGGUAUUGACGGUAUUUAACCAGAAAGCCACGGCUAACUACGUGCCAGCAGCCGCGGUAAUACGUAGGUGGCAAGCGUUGUCCGGAUUUAUUGGGCGUAAAGCGAGCGCAGGCGGUUUUUUAAGUCUGAUGUGAAAGCCUUCGGCUCAACCGAAGAAGUGCAUCGGAAACUGGGAAACUUGAGUGCAGAAGAGGACAGUGGAACUCCAUGUGUAGCGGUGAAAUGCGUAGAUAUAUGGAAGAACACCAGUGGCGAAGGCGGCUGUCUGGUCUGUAACUGACGCUGAGGCUCGAAAGUAUGGGUAGCAAACAGGAUUAGAUACCCUGGUAGUCCAUACCGUAAACGAUGAAUGCU
rnacentral:rRNA from 2 species